rnacentral:rRNA from 2 species
UGUUCAGGGGUAAACCUGUGGUUCCCGAAAGUUCGAACGGGGAGAUUCAAUUGCCUCGCCGGUUAUGACCAUUUAACAGUGAUAUGUUUAUAUAUGUAUUAGAGACAUUAUAUGGCGGUUGCGGGUUUAUUCUCGUAGCUGUUUUCUGUGUAGUGCUCCACUGUUUUAUGAUAUAUAGUUUAUAGCCGGAGGCAUGCACUUCUCCCCUUGUAGGACGUCGUGACCCAUUGGAUUAUGUUGUCUAAGGCUUAUAAUGGAGACCGUGACAUUAGGGCUGAAAGGCCUCAAUGAUCCGGACUUAUAAUGUCCCGACAUCUAUCCGAUGGUAUAAUUAUGAUGAUAGAUCGCUAUAAAUGCGUAUGAGCGUUCAGAUCCAUAACAAAUUCUUUAUAUGAUAUUGAAAUAGUGGAAAUCGGAUUUAAUGCCGAUUCUACACAUAUGGUAUUGAUAGUUAUGGUAUUCUCGAACCGUUUUUUAUCAUCAGUCAACGGCGUUUAUGUUUUGGGUAAUUACAGGACCCGUCUUGAAACACGGACCAAGGAGUCUAGCAUGUGCGCAAGUCAUUGGGACUUUGUGAAACCUAAAGGCGUAAUGAAAGUGAAAUAUUUGUGAAUUUUCGUAAUUCACUGAAUUUAAGGGAAGAUGGGUAACGUUUUUUAUGUUACCUCGCAUUCCCGGGGCGUCGCGUACUUAUUGCAAGUUGCGGCGCACCAAGAGCGUACACGCUGGGACCCGAAAGAUGGUGAACUAUGCCUGGUCAGGAUGAAGUCAGGGGAAACCCUGAUGGAGGUCCGUAGCGAUUCUGACGUGCAAAUCGAUCGUAUGAACUGGGUAUAGGG